AGAGUUUGAUCCUGGCUCAGAAUGAACGCUGGCGGCGUGCUCAACACAUGCAAGUCGAACGAGAAAAGUUUCCUUCGGGAAGCGAGUAGAGUGGCGCACGGGUGAGUAACACGUGGGUAAUCUACCCCUCAAUUUGGGAUAACAUCUCGAAAGGGGUGCUAAUACCGGAUAAGACCACGGAGUCUCUGGAUUCUGCGGUAAAAGGUGGGGACCUUCGGGCCUACCGUCAUCGGAUGAGUCCGCGUACCAUUAGCUAGUUGGUGGGGUAAUGGCCUACCAAGGCUACGAUGGUUAGCUGGUCUGAGAGGAUGAUCAGCCACACUGGAACUGAGACACGGUCCAGACUCCUACGGGAGGCAGCAGUGGGGAAUAUUGCACAAUGGGCGAAAGCCUGAUGCAGCGACGCCGCGUGGGGGAUGAAGGCCUUCGGGUUGUAAACCCCCUUUUCAGCAGGGGAAGAAGCGAAAGUGACGGUACCUGCAGAAGAAAGCGCCGGCUAACUACGUGCCAGCCGCCGCGGUAAUA
rnacentral:rRNA from 1 species